ACGAACGCUGGCGGCGUGCUUAACACAUGCAAGUCGAACGGGUCUGCCCUGUUUUUUGCGGGGUGGGUCAGUGGCGAACGGGUGAGUAACACGUGAGUAACCUGCCCCUCACUUCUGGAUAACCGCUUGAAAGGGUGGCUAAUACGGGGUGUUCUGGCUGUGCCGCAUGGUGUGGCUGGGAAAGAUUCACUUUUGUGGUGUUUUGGUGGGGGAUGGGCUCGCGGCCUAUCAGCUUGUUGGUGGGGUGAUGGCCUGCCAAGGCUUUGACGGGUAGCCGGCCUGAGAGGGUGGGCGGUCACACUGGGACUGAGAUACGGCCCAGACUCCUGCGGGAGGCAGCAGUGGGGGGUAUUGCACAAUGGGCGGAAGCCUGAUGCAGCGACGUCGCGUGAGGGAUGGAGGCCUCCGGGUUGUGAACCUCUUUCGCCGGUGAAGAAGGUCCUGCUCUUUGUGGUGGGGUUGACGGUAGCCGGGUUAUGAAGCGCCGGCUAACUACGUG
rnacentral:rRNA from 1 species